UACGUAGGGUGCAAGCGUUAAUCGGAAUUACUGGGCGUAAAGCGUGCGCAGGCGGUCUGUUAAGACCGAUGUGAAAUCCCCGGGCUUAACCUGGGGAACUGCAUUGGUGACUGGCAGGCUUGAGUGUGGCAGAGGGAGGUAGAAUUCCACGUGAGCAGUGAAAUGCGUAGAGAUGUGGAGGAAUACCGAUGGCGAAGGCAGGCCUCCUGGGCCAACACUGACGCUCAUGCACGAAAGCGUGGGGAGCAAACAGG
rnacentral:rRNA from 1 species